AAAAAGUCAUAGAUUAGUUAUUUGUUGGCAAUCUGCUAUUGAAUGUGAGCACUACCUCCUAAGUCAUAUCUUUACUAUUUGGGAAGUAUCGUUAAGGGAAAGGCUCAAAUUUUAGUGUACCGAAGGGAGAGCCGAGGCUGUUGGUAGUAGACGGCAUAUAAUUAGGAAAUUUUUACUUUAUCAUUAUGCCAUUUAUGCCCUUUUCGCUAAUUAUUACGUAGAAUCGUUCGACAAAGUUGAUCUAUAAAGCUUGACAUUUUGAAAUGUGCAGCACAUUCACGAUUAAAUGAAUACUGCUAUCGAGUUUUGGUGGAAUUAUCGUGAAAUUUUCUUAGAUAAAUAAAAAUAGAGUAGCAGAUAUAUCCGAAGACUUCCAAAAAUAACACAUUUAGUCUUUCUAUCAUAUAUUUGUCCCUGAAGAAAGUCUUCAAAUUCCCUUACUAAUUUGGGGGUAAAUGUGGGGCCGAGAAUUUCUACCCCGGGUGUUGGGUAAACGAAAACGAAACAUCCUUUCGUUUUUUGAACAAGCGAUAAUCGCUAUAUCAAAGACAGCUGCAGUUCAGAACAUAAACAACGAAUUAUUUCUUAGUUAAAAAUUUUGACAGACUUGAUAGUUUAGAAAUCGAUAGAGGUAGAGAGCAUCUUUACUCAUUCCAGAACCUC